ACUGGGAUAACUCCGGGAAACCGGGGCUAAUACCGGAUAACAUUUUGAACCGCAUGGUUCGAAAUUGAAAGGCGGCUUCGGCUGUCACUUAUGGAUGGACCCGCGUCGCAUUAGCUAGUUGGUGAGGUAACGGCUCACCAAGGCAACGAUGCGUAGCCGACCUGAGAGGGUGAUCGGCCACACUGGGACUGAGACACGGCCCAGACUCCUACGGGAGGCAGCAGUAGGGAAUCUUCCGCAAUGGACGAAAGUCUGACGGAGCAACGCCGCGUGAGUGAUGAAGGCUUUCGGGUCGUAAAACUCUGUUGUUAGGGAAGAACAAGUGCUAGUUGAAUAAGCUGGCACCUUGACGGUACCUAACCAGAAAGCCACGGCUAACUACGUGCCAGCAGCCGCGGUAAUACGUAGGUGGCAAGCGUUAUCCGGAAUUAUUGGGCGUAAAGCGCGCGCAGGUGGUUUCUUAAGUCUGAUGUGAAAGCCCACGGCUCAACCGUGGAGGGUCAUUGGAAACUGGGAGACUUGAGUGCAGAAGAGGAAAGUGGAAUUCCAUGUGUAGCGGUGAAAUGCGUAGAGAUAUGGAGGAACACCAGUGG
rnacentral:rRNA from 1 species